GGACUGCAUAUCAUUAUUCAGAAGAAAGGUUGAGAAGGGGCGCAAUUUGAAAAGAAACAUGAAAAAAGGGAUGCCAGAAGGGGGAUGGCGUUAACCAAGUAAGCUGGGAGGUCCAAAUAUUUAAACCAAAGUCAGUUUUAAAGGAUAAAAUUUGGGACUUUUGAGGUAGUUGGCCUUUAGAAGAGGGAGAUGUCAGGGUUGGACAUGGUAAAGCUUCAGGACCGAUGAUGAGAGCAGAAAGGUCAUGAGCCUCACUAAUUGAGAAUGGGGUUAAGUCAUGAGGGGAAAGGUAGCUUUGGAUUAGGUUAUGCAGUUAAGGGUUACUUUGGCAGUUGAAGAAUGGGGGUAAGUCAUGAUGGAAAGGAUCAUUUUGAUCUCUUUUGAUGUGAAGGUUAAGAAAUAAUAAGACCGUGUGGGAUCUGCAUAAACUUUCAAGUAGGACAGUUAGACUUAAGCAGAGGGAACCUUGAUACAUAAAUAGUAAUAAUGGAGAAAAAAUAAUUACGGCAAUCACUAAUGGAGUUCUCAUGCAGGUGUCACAGGGUAUUGUCUGAGGUUCACAAAAUUGUCUCUAGUUUGUAAUCAUACCUCAAUCAGAAAUAAUAAGACCGUGUGGGAUCUGCAUAAACUUUCAAGUAGGACAGUUAGACUUAAGCAGAGGGAACCUUGAUACAUAAAUAGUAAUAAUGGAGAAAAAAUAAUUACGGCAAUCACUAAUGGAGUUCUCAUGCAGGUGUCACAGGGUAUUGUCUGAGGUUCACAAAAUUGUCUCUAGGUUGUAAUCAUACCUCAAUCAUUAUGAAGCAAAUAGUCACAUAUAAGUAUGCCAAACUCUUGAUAAAAUGCCUCAAGAGUUUGAUGCCUACACUCCACUAAUGGAGUUCUCAUGCAGAUGUCACAGGGUAUUGUCUGAGGUUCACAAAAUUGUCUCUAGGUUGUAAUCAUACCUCAAUCAUUAUGAAGCAAAUAGUCACAUAUAAGUAUGCCAAACUCUUGAUAAAAUGCCUCAAGAGUUUGAUGCCUACACUUCAAGUACCUGACACAUGUAACUUGAUGCAAAGUCAUUGAUAGCAGCCACUCCACAAUGUAAUUGUGAAGCAAUCUGCUUAGCACGACGCUGACUGCCUGAAAAUACAGCACAACCAAGUCCAUAUUUUGAAUCAUUUGCAAGCUGAACAACUUCUUCAUCAGAGCUGAAUUUCAUUAUUGGCAAUA
rnacentral:lncRNA from 1 species